GACGGAAGGUGCAAGCGUUGCUCGGAAUCACUGGGCGUAAAGGGUGCGUAGGCGGCUUGGUGGGUCUGGUGUGAAAGCCCCGGGCUCAGCCCGGGAAGGGCACUAGAAACUGCCGAGCUGGAGUGCCGGAGGGGAGAGUGGAAUUCCUGGUGUGCGGUGAAAUGCGUAGAUAUCAGGAGGAAUACCGGUGGCGAAAGCGACUCUCUGGACGGCAA
rnacentral:rRNA from 1 species